ACCCAUAAUUGCAGUGAUUCAGAAAGGUUGAUACUGGUGGAUCUCUUGAGCUAGGGAGUUCUGAGCUGCAGUGGGCUAUGUUGAUCAGAUGUCUGAACAUUUUUUAGCAUCACUAUGGUUAAACCUCCAGGAGAAGAAAGUCACCAGGUUGUCUAACAAAGGGUGAGCUGACCCAGGUCAGAAACAUAGCAGGUCAAAAUUCCUGUGUUGCUCAACAGUGGGGACCCAUGACUAGUCCCUAUACUUCCAGCUUAGGUAAGAUUGGGAAACCCUGUCUUA
rnacentral:SRP_RNA from 1 species